CCAGAACAUAAAUGAUUUUCUUGUCUUAAUGAGCAAACAACCCAGCCGGCACCGCUCUCUCGCCGGCCUCCUGCUGGGGUAAUUGCCAGCGCUUAUGCGCUCCGGCAGAAAUGUUUACUCACUCACCUUUGCUCACCGCUUGCCAGGAGUUUCUUGCUUCCUCUUUGUUCUGCAGUCUCCCUGACACUACCCCUGGGAAGCGCCACUGGCCAGGCUCCACACUCAGUGUGGAACCCAAUGCCGGAAUUGAACUCACGACCCCGAGAUCAAGUCCUGAGCCGAGAUCAAGAGUCCGAUGCUUAACAUGCUGA
rnacentral:lncRNA from 1 species